GUGCUUGCUUCGGCAGCACAUAUACUAACAUUGGAACGACACAGAGAAGAUUAGCACGUUCCC
rnacentral:snRNA from 1 species